rnacentral:rRNA from 1 species
AUACGGAGGGUGCAAGCGUUAAUCGGAAUUACUGGGCGUAAAGGGUGCGUAGGUGGUAUGGUAAGUUAUCUGUGAAAUUCCUGGGCUUAACCUGGGGUGGUCAGAUAAAACUGCUGAACUCGAGUAUGGGAGAGGGUAGUGGAAUUUCCGGUGUAGCGGUGAAAUGCGUAGAGAUCGGAAGGAACACCAGUGGCGAAGGCGGCUACCUGGCCCAAUACUGACACUGAGGCACGAAAGCGUGGGGAGCAAACAGGAUUAGAUACCCUGGUAGUCCACGCUGUAAACGAUGUCAACUAGCUGUUGGUCAU